rnacentral:rRNA from 1 species
AUUGAACGCUGGCGGCAGGCCUAACACAUGCAAGUCGAACGAGUGGCGGACGGGUGAGUAAUGUCUGGGCAACUGCCCGAUGGAGGGGGAUAACUACUGGACACGGUUGCUACUACCGCAUACCAUCGGAUGUGCCCAGAUGGGAUUAGCUAGUAGGUGGGGUAACGGCUAACCUAGGCGACGAUCGCUAACGGGUCUGAGCGGAGGACUAGCCACACUGCAACUGAGACACGGUCCAGACACCUACGGGAGGGAGCAGUGGGGAAGAUUGGACAAUGGGCGCAAGCCUGAUGCAGCCAUGCCGCGUGUAUGAAGCAGGCCUUCGGGUGGUAAAGUACUUUCAGCGAGGAGGCGGUACUCGCAGAAGAAGCCCCGGCUAACUCCGUGCCAGCAGCCGCGGUAAUAC